UGGCCAUCGCAAUGCUUUGUUUUAAUUAAACAGUCGGAUUCCCCUUGUCCGCUCCAGUUCUGAGUUAGCUGUUCACCGUACACGCACAGCCCAAGACCCCGGAAAGGGAGAUGGACCUUUUCCCCAGAGCGCAAUACAGACAGUGCUCGGGUCCGCAACACGCCGCGAAGCAUGAAGCAGUCCCAAGCUCCGUCAAAUACAGGCCACUGGGGCGCAAUGUACCCAGCCCUCAGAGCCAAUCCUUU
rnacentral:rRNA from 1 species